AAUGAACGCUGGCGGCGUGCUUAACACAUGCAAGUCGAACGAGAAAUCCUGUCUUCGGACGGGAGAGUAAAGUGGCGCACGGGUGAGUAACGCGUGGACAAUCUACCUUUUUGUUCGGGAUAACAUUGCGAAAGCGGUGCUAAUACCGGAUACGAUGUUUUUAACUUAGGUUUUAAACAUGAAAGGGUGCCUCUUCCUGAAAGCAUCUGCAAAGAGAUGAGUCCGCGUCCCAUUAGCUCGCAGGUGGGGUAACGGCCUACCUGGGCGACGAUGGGUAGCUGGUCUGAGAGGAUGAUCAGCCACACCGGAACUGGAACACGGUCCGGACUCCUACGGGAGGCAGCAGUGAGGAGUUUUGCGCAAUGGGGGAAACCCUGACGCAGCAACGCCGCGUGAGUGACGAAGGCUUUCGGGUCGUAAAGCUCUGUCAAUAGGGAAGAAAUUGUGUCAUCACUAAUAGGGUGUGCAUUGACGGUACCUAUAAAGGAAGCACCGG
rnacentral:rRNA from 1 species